rnacentral:rRNA from 1 species
CCGCCGGCGACCGGCGCGCGGGUGAGUAACACGUAUGCAACCUGGCCGUGACAGAUGGAUAACCGGGAGAAAUCCCGCCUAAUACAACAUAAUGCCGGGAGGGGACAUCCCCUGCCGGCCAAAGGGGGCGACCCCGGUCACGGAUGGGCAUGCGGCGCAUUAGGUAGUUGGUGGGGCAACGGCCCACCAAGCCGACGAUGCGUAGGGGUUCUGAGAGGAAGGUCCCCCACAUUGGAACUGAGACACGGUCCAAACUCCUACGGAAGGCAGCAG